GAUGAACGCUGGCGGCGUGCCUAAUACAUGCAAGUCGAACGCACAGCGAAAGGUGCUUGCACCUUUCAAGUGAGUGGCGAACGGGUGAGUAACACGUGGAUAACCUACCUCAAGGUUGGGGAUAACAUUUGGAAACAGAUGCUAAUACCGAAUAAAACUUAGUAUCGCAUGAUACCAGGUUAAAAGGCGCUACGGCGUCACCUAGAGAUGGAUCCGCGGUGCAUUAGUUAGUUGGUGGGUAAAGGCUUACCAAGACAAUGAUGCAUAGCCGAGUUGAGAGACUGAUCGGCCACAUUGGGACUGAGACACGGCCCAGACUCCUACGGGAGGCUGCAGUAGGGAAUCUUCCACAAUGGGCGAAAGCCUGAUGGAGCAACGCCGCGUGUGUGAUGAAGGCUUUCGGGCGUAAAGCACUGUGUAUGGGAAGACAGCUAGAGUAGGGAAUGACUUUAGUUGACGG
rnacentral:rRNA from 1 species